rnacentral:lncRNA from 1 species
GAAUAGUAGUAUAGCCAGUUCUUGCAUUGCAUGGGAUAAAGAGCCAGAAGACGGUUAGCAGAGUGAACACUAGCAUAUAACUUAGGGAUAAAGAUAAGAUAAUGACAUAGUUUUUAUACCAAAUUAAUAACCAUAUGCAAUAAAAAAUAGACACACAUAUGCGUAUAUAUAAAUAUGGUUUUUUAAUGGGGAGAAAAGUUUAUCAUGCAUUUAAAUCCCUAACCUAGGCUGAGU